CCUUGUACUUCAAACUGCAUUGCAUUCUGGCAAGUACUGUCUUUUAUCUUCGUUCUUCAAGACAAAAGCUGCCUGCCUUGUAUUUUUGGACUGCCUGGAAGAAACUGAGAGCACCGCCCCCUGGAGAGUGAACCGUUGCUCUGAAGAGUGGACCAUGUUCCAGCUCCGAGGAGUAGGCUCUUGGUGCCUCACACAGGGCUUUCUGCCUUCACUAUUCCUAACUCCACAUUAAGGCACAGUCCCAACUUUCUUUUCAGCUUCUCCAGAGAUGUCUGCCCUCCUCAUAGCCAUGAGACCUGGGAAGACUGACUCCAUCUCUGUCUUAACCGUAUUCCUUGGAUGAGGUAAGGUGAGACCAAAUGCAGACCCUAAAAGAGAAACCAGAGUUUCACAGUUUUGUUCAAAUUGCAGUUCCCUGGGGAGAACACAGCACACCACACGGGGACCAUCAGGGGAAGCACUGAGGUCUUCAGGGGACAGAGAGAGGGAGCAGAGCUCUGGUUUCCAUGGGAAGGAAUGGGAGAGGCAAGGGCAGGGAGGCAA